rnacentral:rRNA from 1 species
GAUGAACGCUGGCGGCGUGCCUAAUACAUGCAAGUCGAACGCAGUGGGGACGGGUGAGUAACACAUGGGUAACCUCCCAUCAGAGGGGAUAACACUUGGAAACAGGUGCUAAACCGAUAUUGAUGGCUGGACCCGCGGUGCAUUAGCUAGUUGGUGAGGCAACGGCUCACCAAGGCCACGAUGCAUAGCCGACCUGAGCGGGUGAUCGGCCACACUGGGACGGAGACACGGCCCAGACUCCUACGGGAUACAGCAGUAGGGAAUCUUCGGCAAUGGACGAAAGUCUGACCGAGCAACGCCGCGUGAGUGAAGAAGGUGUUCGGAUCUUAAAACUCUGUUGUUAGAGAAGCGGUAUCUAACCAGAAAGCCACGGCUAACUACGUGCCAGCAGCCGCGGUAAUUC